rnacentral:rRNA from 1 species
UCGAACGCGAAAAGGGCUUCGGCUCUUAGUAGAGUGGCGAACGGGUGAGUAACACGUGGGUGACCUACCUUCGAAUGGGGGAUAACGUCCCGAAAGGGACGCUAAUACCGCAUAACAUCCUGCUUUUGAACAGGUGGAGAUCAAAGCCGGGGAUCGCAAGACCUGGCGUUUGAAGAGGGGCCCGCGUCUGAUUAGCUAGUUGGUGAGGUAACGGCCCACCAAGGCGACGAUCAGUAUCCGGCCUGAGAGGGCGGACGGACACACUGGGACUGAGACACGGCCCAGACUCCUACGGGAGGCAGCAGUGGGGAAUUGUUCGCAAUGGGCGCAAGCCUGACGACGCAACGCCGCGUGGAGGAUGAAGGUCUUCGGAUCGUAAACUCCUGUUGCUCGGGACGAAAAGCUUCGACCUAACACGUCGAAGUCUGACGGUACCGGGUGAGGAAGCCCCGGCUAACUCUGUGCCAGCAGCCGCGGUAAUACAGAGGGGGCAAGCGUUGUUCGGAAUUACUGGGCGUAAAGGGCGCGUAGGCGGCCCGCUAAGUCGAACGUGAAAUCCCCGGGUUCAACCCGGGAACUGCGUCCGAUACUGGCAGGCUUGAAUCCGGGAGAGGGAUGCGGAAUUCCAGGUGUAGCGGUGAAAUGCGUAGAUAUCUGGAGGAACACCGGUGGCGAAGGCGGCAUCCUGGACCGGUAUUGACGCUGAGGCGCGAAAGCCAGGGGAGCAA